CGCAGAGUGGCAAAAACAAAAACAAAAUAGAAAUCCAUUACAGAAAGAUUUUCAGCAAGGAGUGACUUCAUUAUUAGAAUUCUAAAUUGAAAACAAACCAUCAAACAACCCCACACUGCGGGGGCAAUGCAGGGAAGCGGCAUGGGGGAGGGGAUACUGCAAGCGGGAAGGGCAGAAAGAGCCCACCCAAUGGACCAAAUGAGGAACACUGGCUGCCGGAAGCAGAUUUGGGAGAAAGAGAAAGAGCCCAGAGAACUCGGGGCCUGAAGGGUCUGGCCACCUGUCCUCACUGAGCAGCCGAGAUGGGAAGAUGAAGACAGACCCAGCCGUCUCUAACCCCACACUCAGAAGGUGUUCCUUGAGUCUGGGAGGGUGGAGAGUGGGGAUCUCUGCCUCCUUUUUUCCCAGCUGACACCCACACCUCUCUCUGAGCAGCUUCCACUGCAGGAAAACUAAUAAGGCUGGCAUUUUAUGAUCCCCCACCUUCGAUGACAACAGGCAAUUUGAAGAGUCAAUAAAAG
rnacentral:lncRNA from 10 species